CCUAGGGGAGGCAGCAGUGAGGAAUAUGGUCAAUGGGCGGAAGCCUGAACCAGCCAAGUAGCGUGCAGGAUGACGGCCCUAUGGGUUGUAAACUGCUUUUAUACAGGAAUAAAGUUAGCCACGUGUGGUUAUUUGUAGGUACUGUAUGAAUAAGGACCGGCUAAUUCCGUGCCAGCAGCCGCGGUAAU
rnacentral:rRNA from 1 species